rnacentral:piRNA from 1 species
UGCACCCAAACAUAGGAACUACUGAUGCUC